GAGAUCACUGUCAAUUCCCUCAGACAAGGAGACGGUCGUCGCCUGAGCAGAGACUGGCUUCACAAACCUCCCCGCUGAAUUGAUUUGUUUCUCCUCUGUCCUCUGGAGAAGAAAUGGACUACUGGCAUCUGCUUUUGUUGCUUGCUGGAGAAACCUGUUGCACCUCAGAGGACUGUCUACAGUGAAAGACGGAUUUCUCACAUUUUAUUCUUGAACCCCAGUCCACCAUGAAGGUGACAGUUGCUGCUGUGAAGAUCUUAAUGAGUCUGCUGCUGAUUUUACACUCCAGUAGAGCCCAGAACUCCAGCGAUGACUCCAUGUACACCUCCCUCAUCAUGCUGUUGAGUGUGAGCCCUCAGUCCCUCGUCAGCCUCCUGCUGCUGGGUCUCACCGUCAUCUUGUCCAGCGUCGUCUACAUAUGGGUCCUCAGAUACGUUUGCAUCGGCUGCUGCCAGCCCAUUCCGGUCGGCACUGAGUCACAAGCUCUGGCUGGGAUUGUGUGAAGCCAUCAGGUCCUGUUUGAGUGAGUUACAGUAUUAGUCACUCAUAGGCCCACUAAGUCACACAGGUAAAAAUUACAUUCUUCACACCUGUGAAUUAGUUCUAUUCACCAGACAGACGGGACUGUAAUAUAAAAAAAAAUGGCAUCUCACAUGUUAAAUAUGUGACAAUAAUGUUGCUUUGAGUUUUUAGAAAACACUUCUUUUUAUACUUGUGUAAAUUUUACAUCUUCACACUUGAAUUGUAACCUCUGAAUCCCUGACCUGUAAUUUUUUUUCUCAGUGAUUCAGUUGAUGGUAGUUGCCCAAGCUGAAAAAUAGCAGCGGCAAGAUAAAAAACAGAGACGUCAUCUUCCCGGACACGAGCCAGAAAAAUUACCUUUUACAUUUAAACGAUUGUUCCCUAAACCUAAAUAAAUAGUCUUUGUGUCUAAACCUAACCAAACCACGACUGCUCCACAACUUUAACCUUCUAAUAAAGGUCUGGUACGCCUGCUCUUGGUACGCACCUAUGGGUCGUAUCCAAGGGGAGGGAGAACUGGUGAUGAGAGUCAAAGGCUGUAAAACCAAAACAAUGAGCUGAAAGACGCUAAAAUGCUCCGUAGCGCUGAGGGGAACUGCAGAGUUGUAAUAAUUCUCAACAGGUUUGUCACUAUGAGUGACACCUUUCCAUUACAUGUAGUCAUUUAACCCAUCGUUGAUGUAAAAAUAUUUAUUAGUGCAGCUUUAAUAUUUUCUAGUGUGACUUCAUUUGAAAUUUAUUGUCUCAAAACAGCUGCUUUGUGCUCUCAAACUAAACCAGCUGUUAAAAAAUACAUGUAAUGAUUGUUAUAACCUCACAAUAUUCAUAUGUAAGAGUGGAUUCAGUAUCCGUAACCACCUCAAUACCAAAACACUCUGCAACCAGAGUAGCCCCGACAACCUGUAAUUUCAGCUCUUACUGCUGCAGUUUGACACUGAUUCUAAGUUUGUGAGCACAUAGUAAGUGAUUUAAGAGGCUGUAUUUCUAAUUUCACUUUAACCGUUUUUUCUCCUGACGCCUUCUAGGCUCCAUAUGAAGUCCAUAUACAAUCGACUUGAGCAAUUUGUUUGUCGGUAAACAUGUUUGCCUUCAGUUUUGUCCUUCUGAAAAAAAAAAAAAAACAUUCUCUAUUUAUUUCCUGUACAUGUGCAGAAUGAAUUGAAGAUACAAGGACGAGGCACUGGAUGGUUUAUAUAUAUAUAUAAAUAUAUGAAAUAAUGCAAAGACAUUCUCACACCUCAUACCUCUAUCUUUGAGGUACACACACACAUGCAGCGAUGUGUUGUACGCUCUACUCUGUUCUAUUCUAUUGGUCGAAUAAAUCCUGUGUACGUGAAAAGCUGCUCUCUGACUCUCAGU